UAGAUAGAUAGAUAGAUAGAUAGAUAGAUAGAUUAGUUGAACACGGUGGUCCGACCUAUCUGACGUUUCUGCUGUGCUUACUUUCUGUACUGUGUUGCUUUGCUAGCGUCUUUGACAAAUCUAUCUCGUUACGAACGACAACUCACCACUGGUCGGACUAACUUUCGGUGGUGUCAUUUUCUUUAGUCUGUGGCCCAACCGGUAAACUAGGUCUACAAGCUAAUGUUAGUGAAAAUGUUGAUAUAUGAAAGCAUCAAACAUGAAUUUAAGAUGCACAAAAAGAAAGGAUUGCCAAGAAAAGCAUAAAAAACCAUGUCCAGGCACUCAAUGCUGUUUACAAAAAGUAAUAAAAAAGCCUUUAAUAAAUAGGGAAAGACAUUAAAAAUACCCCCAACGCGUGUCGGCUUGAGCCUUCCUCAGGGUGUAGUAUGUGUAUGAAUUUGAGAUGAUUGAGAUGAGAGUAUAUCCAGUUGUUCCUUUCUCCUGCUUUGACCAAUAGUAUUGCUUUUCCAUGUAGGGUUUUAUCUUUGGUUAUUGUAUUUAGUUAUAUUUAUUUGAUAUUUCAUUUGUUGUUUACACAGUAAGUAAAUGAAUGUCAGUGCCAUCACUAGUUUGCACUAUAGUCAGUUCAGGAAUAUGUACACCAUAUAUUGUGUACAUAUAAUUACUGUACUGUUUUUUUUUUUUUUUUUUUAAAUCAAGUCCAGAUUAAAAUACCCUGAUGGUGUUCUUGAAAACAUGUUAAAGGUGUAUUAAUAUGAAGUAUGUUUUGGAUGUAAUAAAGAGCACUAUAAACA